rnacentral:rRNA from 1 species
UCAAGAUAGUAAGGGCACAUGGUGGAUGCCUUGGCACCAAGAGUCGAUGAAGGGCGUGAACGGCUGCGAUAAGCCACGGUUAGGCGCUGAAUAGCCUUUGACCCGUGGAUUCCCGAAUGGGGAAACCCAACGCUGGUAAUGCGGCGUUAUCCCCGGUUGAACACAUAGACCGGGCGAAGACAAGCGGGGGAAGUGAAACAUCUCAGUACCCCGAGGAAAGUAAAUCAACCGAGACUCCCUGAGUAGUGGCGAGCGAAAAGGGAUCAGCCCAAACCCGGCAUGUGUAAGCGGUCACGCGUUGCAUGCCGGGGGUUGUAGGACGUCUGAUCCGAGUCGUGACCGGCUCGGCGGAAGUUACAAAAUCGUGUGAUAGUCGAAGCGUGUGGAACCGCGCACCAUAGAGGGCAAGCGUCCCGUAGGCGAAAUUGCACGAACUUCCGCAGAUGUUCCUGAGUAAGUCCGCACCCGUGAAACGCGGACUGAACCUGGGGGGACCACCCUCCAAGGCUAAGUACUCCUUGGUGACCGAUAGCGGACUAGUACCGUGAGGGAAAGGUGAAAAGUACCCCGGAAGGGGAGUGAAAUAGUACCUGAAACCGCGUGCCUACAAGCGGUGGGAGCAGGCUUGUCCUGUGACCGCGUGCUUUUUGCAUAACGAGCCGGCGAGUUACUCGUCUGCGGCAAGGUUAAGCGAUGAGCGGAGCCGUAGCGAAAGCGAGUCCUAAUAGGGCGACAUAGUCGUAGGCGGUAUACCCGAAACUGAGCGAGCUACCCAUGGGCAGGCUGAAGCGGGGGUAAGACCUCGUGGAGGGCCGAACCGACCUAGGUUGAAAACUGGGCGGAUGACCUGUGGGUCGGAGUGAAAGGCUAAUCAAGCUCAGUGAUAUCUGGUUCUCUCCGAAAUAUAUUUAGGUAUAGCCUCGGAUAAAUUGCGUGUUGGCCGUAGAGCACUGUUUGGACUAGGGGCCCUACCAGGUUACCGACUUCAGGCAAACUCCGAAGACCAUCACGUUUACUCCGGGAGUCAGUUGCUGGGGGAUAAACUUCAGCGUCAAAAGGGAAACAGCCCAGACCGCCAGCUAAGGUCCCUAAGUACUAGCUAAGUGGGAAACGAUGUUCGAGUGCAUAGACAACCAGGAGGUUGGCUUAGAGGCAGCCACCCUUGAAAGAGUGCGUAACAGCUCACUGGUCAAGUGUUCGGGCGCGGACAAUGUAACGGGGCUCAAGCUAGUCACCGAAGCUGCGGGUGCGUGACGUCUUCGGACCGAGCGCGCGGUAGGAGAGCGUUCCGGCGCCAGCGAAGCAGCGACGUAAGUCAGCUGUGGAGGCGCCGGAAGUGAGAAUGCCGGCAUAAGUAACGAAAGAGGGGUGAGAAUCCCCUCCGCCGAUUGCCCAAGGUUUCCUGAGUAAAGUUCGUCUGCUCAGGGUUAGUCAGGACCUAAGGCGAGGCCGAAAGGCGUAGUCGAUGGCCAACGGGUUGAUAUUCCCGUACCACGUCGUGUCCGUUUGACCAACGGGGGGACGAGGAAGGCUAUGGGAUCCCAGGCGAUGGUUGUCCUGGGGUAAGCAUGUAGGGGUGGCUCUAGGCAAAUCCGGAGCCGCAUAACCCGAGGUGCGAUGCCAGCUGGCUCUAAGCCGGCGAGUCCCGGAUGCCAUGCCUCCAAGAAAAGCCUCUAGGGAGGACACGCGUGCCUGUACCAAAACCGACACAGGUGGGCAAGUGGAGCACACUAAGGUGAUCGAGAUAACCCUCGUUAAGGAACUCGGCAAAAUCGCCCCGUAACUUCGGGAUAAGGGGCGCCCCAGUAGGGUGAAGCUCUUCGCGAGUGGAGCCCGAGGGGGCCGCAGUGAAUUGGCUGAAGCGACUGUUUACCAAAAACACAGGUCUCUGCUAAGUCGAAAGACGACGUAUAGGGGCUGACGCCUGCCCGGUGCCGGAAGGUUACGUGGAGUUGUUAGGACUUCGGUUCGAAGCAGCGAAGCUAAGCCCCGGUAAACGGCGGCCGUAACUAUAACGGUCCUAAGGUAGCGAAAUUCCUUGUCGGGUAAGUUCCGACCUGCACGAAUGGCGUAACGACUUGAACGCUGUCUCAACGAGGGGCUCGGUGAAAUUGCAGUCUCGGUGAAGAUGCCGAGUACCCGCGGCUAGACGGAAAGACCCCGUGAACCUUUACUACAACUUGGUAUUGGGGUUCGAUGCAUUUCGCUCAGGAUAGGUGGGAGGCUUGGAAGCGCCGGCUGCGGCUGACGUGGAGCCAACCUUGAGAUACCACCCUUGAUGUAUUGGAUCUCUAACGGUGCGCCGUGAAUCCGGGCGCCGGACAGUGACAGGUGGGUAGUUUGACUGGGGCGGUCGCCUCCCAAAAUGUAACGGAGGCGCGCAAAGGUUCCCUCAGCACGGUCGGAAAUCGUGCGUAGAGUGUAAAGGCAGCAAGGGAGCUUGACUGCGAGACCGACAGGUCGAGCAGGUGCGAAAGCAGGUCUUAGUGAUCCGGCGGUAGCAAGUGGAAGUGCCGUCGCUCAACGGAUAAAAGGUACUCCGGGGAUAACAGGCUUAUCGGGCCCAAGAGUCCACAUCGACGGCCCGGUUUGGCACCUCGAUGUCGGCUCGUCGCAUCCUGGGGCUGGAGUAGGUCCCAAGGGUUGGGCUGUUCGCCCAUUAAAGCGGUACGCGAGCUGGGUUCAGAACGUCGUGAGACAGUUCGGUCCCUAUCUGCCGUGGGCGUUGGAGAAUUGAGAGGAUUUGUCCCUAGUACGAGAGGACCGGGAUGAACGCACCUCUGGUGUAUCUGUUGUCCUGCCAAGGGCAUAGCAGGCUAGCUACGUGUGGAUCGGAUAACCGCUGAAGGCAUCUAAGCGGGAAGCCGGCCUCGAGAUGAGCUCUCCCAUCCCCUAGAGGGAGUAAGACCCCUGGUAGACCACCAGGUUGAUAGGCCAGCUCUGGAAGGGCGGUAACGCCCGGAGGAGACUGGUACUAAUCGGUCGAGGGCUUGACGGA